GAAGAAACCUUAUUAUAUAAUCUAGCAGAGAUCAGCCAUGAAAUGAAAAGCCUAUGAUUCAGCAUAUAGAUGCAAUUAAAGACUAUACUAAAAUCCCUGAGAUGUCCACUUGUCCUGUCGAAUGUUGACGAUUGUUGACUUUGUUGCGUCAUCUUUCAAUGAAUCCCCCAGCAUGGCAGCUCAUUGAUGAACUGCAUGCACACCACUCUGGCAAUCCGGUGCCACUUAAACAGCCCUUACAAUUUGCAUCAGUCAGUAAUUGCCAACGUAAAAUUUGAAGAUACCGUAGUGGCGCCAGCAAAACAGGGAUCGAAUUAAGCUCUCGUUGAGGUCAGACGUAUCUAAAACGCUCCGGUCUUGGCAAAGAAGUCAAAGAAGGGAGAAGAAAGAAGAAAGAAGACUAAAGCUUGAAGAGCUCCUGCUUUGACCUUUUUGAUUUAUUAUAUAUUGUACUGCC